GUGGUUCCAUACCAUAGUUUUAAACUAGAUGGGAGAAGACAUAGAAAGGGAUGCACCUCCAGGAUUUCUAAAAACAAAAUAAAAUGAAAAACAAAAACAAAAACAAACAGGUUCUGUGAAACAGAAUUUGUAGUAAGAUUUUCCUAUUUUUUUAUUGCUAUGGAAAUUUAAUAUUGCAGACUAACUCCUUAGCAUCCAGAACCUGAAAACCACUGAUGCAAACUGCUGCUCACUGUCUUACUUUGUUUUUGAAAGGCAAAAGCGUUAAGAGGAAGACUAAUAGAACUACUGAAAUCUUUUAAGAAUGCGGAAAGUUGGGUCAGCAAUGCAGCAUAUUUCCGAAAGGGAUAGAAACAAAAGGAGAACAAAAUGGACAUAAAAACAGUAAAGGGAAGCAUCACAGUAACUACAGCUAUAGCAGAGAUGUCAUUUUCAGCAACAAAAUGGAUUACUGUAAGUGAGAUAACCAGACCCAGAGGCAGUUGGAAGAGAUUCUAAGCAGGCAGAACACCUUACAUGAUCUAAUUAACCUGAUCUGAUAACACUCUUGGGUUACACACUUAACUGUCUGAGGCUAAUCAAACACUGUUGGUAGUUGGGAUGUCCUGUUCCUUCCUGCUGUCGGAGUUCUUCUGUAUGCCACCAGUGGAGACUUCUUCUUAAGACGCGGAAGACUUGUUGCCCUCCACCUGAAGGAAGCAGUAAGAGUAAAAGCCGACUAAGACUGAAUGCUAAAAAGGAGAACAUUUUCAGCAAUAACAUAAUCCAAAGAACUGUCCUUUCUUCCUCCACCCUGAUUAUGGCUGAAUGUGCUAAGCUGCUCGUCUUUGCUGAGCUUCUUAGUGCAUACAAGGUAAGCUAAGAUGUAUCAGAUUGUAUCAGUGGGGGGGACUUUUAAAGCUAGCCCGUAGCCCUAUUACUUCUUUUCUGUGACCUUAUUUAAAAGUGGGGACAAUUACAGACUGGUCUUUUGUGUGGCUUUGAUGGCAAAAGUCAAUGUUGUUGUCUAUAAAGUUUAAGCCUUAUUAAAUGUCAUAUAAUCUCAACUGAGACACCGUGAUAUUUAUGGUUCAGUUGUUCAUGUUUCAGAACAGAUCAUUGGAGGUUGCUUUGGGAAUUUCUGUGGUCACAGUCUUCAGAUUUAGAAGAACACAAACCUGAUGUGCAUUCCACCACUGACUGUAAUGCACCUGCGGCACUCAUGAUAUUCGAAGAGAAGGGCAUCUAUUAUACAGAUAUCAGAUGGCAAUAACAAUUCCCAGACUUUAAUUUGAGGAGGCAGAUGGCCUUGGACUUAGUAAGGAGCUAGCACAACUGCUCUUGCGACAGAAUAUUGGUUAAGAUUCAAAAACUGUUAAACUUAUCCUCGUUCUGAUUCAUAGCUAGCCAUUUUGAUGUGGGUAAAUCAUUUGUUAGGGUGACUGUGGUGGAGGCUUGAGUUGUCCUGAGAUGUUUAUUUCUUGACUGUGGUCAUUGGAAAUGUGCCUGAAAUAACUGUAUUUUGCAAAAAGUGGGUAUCCAAACUGUGUUGGAGGAUAUAUGAAGGCAACAGAAGGUCAC
ensembl:lncRNA